CGUCUCUCUCGUCUCUCUCUCUCUCGUCUCUCUCUCUCUCUCUCUCUGGCCCUCUUCUCCUCGACGUCGCCAGAAGGUCUGCUCAGAGCUGUUGGCGUCGCAGUCUCCGUCAUAAUCAAGCCAUCUCUGUGGUCGUCUUCGUCGGCCCUGAACUCAUCGUCUCUGUCCUUGUCAUCAAGCCUUUGUCUUCGAGCCCCCUCUCUCUGUGUACUUGCUCACUUCCCUUCCUCUCUCGCUGCCGGUAAGCACUGUUGCUUCAAUUUAUGUUGUUGCUGAUUUUCUGAAAUAAUAGUUGAUGGUUGAUUUGAAUGAUUCUGUUGAAUUUUUUUGUUGAGUUAAUUUUUCUGAUAUAAUUUUGUUGAUGGGGUUCUCUGUUGGGGUUGAUGGUUGAUUUGAAUGGUUGUUAAUUUUGCUUUCAGAGUUGGGGUUGUUGCUGAUGUAAUUCUGAGUUUAGUAUGGAUGCUAAGUUUGGAUUCUUUGCAUAAUUUUUCUGUUUUUGGAUUUUCUGGCUUUGGAUGCUGAGUUUUCUGUUUUUGGAUUCGGAGUUUUUGUUGUUGAAUACUUGAUUGGAAGUCUUUGUUGGAAUUUUUUGUGAUUUUGAAUUCUAUUGCCGAUGGUUUGAGUUUUUGUGUAAGUUUGUGUUUCCAUUGUUGCUGAUUAUUUUAUUAUUAAAAGUUAUUGUUGAAAAUUUUUUUAUUCUAAUUUUUUGUCGCUAAUGUGAUGCCUGAUGAGUAUUGUUGCUGAUUACUUGAUGUUGAUUAGGACUUAGAAGUCAUUUAGAAAAUUUUCAUUUUGUGAAUUUUUAAUGAUAAAAUAUGAACAAAUUAUUAUAUGAAAUUAUAAAAUUUUGAAUUUUAUUAAUUUAGAAAUUAUUGAAUUUGAAUAUUUGAAAUUGUAUAUUAAAUUUUUAAUAAUUUUAUUUUAUGUUAAUUAAAUCGAUUUAACCACAAUUCGACUUCGGUUGGACUAUUGAACCAUUGAACCAGUCAUUUGACCGAUUCAAUGGCUGGUUUGGUUCUCGCAACCUUGCCUAACCGCCGCUUAAUUAUAUAUUCAUAAGGGUAAAGUAUAUUUUUUUCCUGAAGUUUUUGAAAAGUUUUAAAAAUAUGUCUAACAUUUAAUUUGAUUCAAUUUUGCCCUAACAUUUGAAAUAAAUUCCACCAACAUCAUCAAUCAAAACCACAAUUUCAUUGGACUUCGUUUUCUCAUUCCAUCGCCACCUCACCCACCACCACAACCCAACUACAUUUACCCCUCACUUACGGCCACCAGUACCAUCAUUAUCAACAUGAUCAUCAUUAACAACUUCAUCGGAUCCCACCUCCACCCAUCAACCAUCCCUCCCUUUUCCUUCCCAUCUCACCCCACCCUUCACCGUCCUAAGACUUGAUUUGGUAAAACUUUUACUUUUCGAAAGUAGUUUAUGAAAGUUGUCUUUUAGCUUUUUAAAAGCUGUAAUACCUGUAUUAGGUAAAAUCAAAUUAAAAAUAGUUUGCGAUAAACACAAACACGAUAAGCUUUUAAAAGUAAAAAAAGACCAUAAUAGACAUAUGUAUAAAAGGUAAUUUUGGAUAUUUAUUAUUAAUUUAUUAUAUAGGAUUAUAUUAAAAAUUUUAAUUUUGAUAAGUAGAAAUCAACUUUGAAAAGCUCUUCCUUAGGUGCUUUAAAAGCACCCCCAGCUUUUAAAAGCAAACGAGGUGAAAAACACAAGCUCCUCCCCGAAAAACUUUACCAAACCAAGCCUAAAUUACUAUCAUCUCCUCAUUCACCAUUGCCACUGUAUUUUCACCUUCAUUGCACUGUCUCUGUCCAUUCUUCUCACCCCACCACAAUUCCAACUAACACAACAAAUCCUAAAUUCAUCACACACGCCUACAUGCCCGCGCACUCGCGGGCACGCACACACACGAAAAGUAGAAAGAGAUCGAAGGAAUAAAGAACUCGAAAUCAAGUGGGAAAGAAACAGUGAAAAAGUUUCGCGGAGGACGCAUUCGCUAAAGGAGAAAGUGAUUGUGGUAGAGGAAGGUAGAUUAAUAGAAUAUAAAAUCCACACUCACUAAGUUGCCUGUAUUUUAAUUGUGAAUAAGACAUAAUUUUACUUGCAGAGACAGGGAGAGAAAGAGAAAGAGAAAAAACAUUGGAGGGAUAGGACAAAAAGGGAGAAUCAACAUGGUUGUUGGGUAGAUAGGGUGAGGGUGGUGGGGUGAUGCCGUGGUGUACUAUUAAGAAAGGAGCCACUUAGAUAAAGAUGCUGAAAACGUCUUUUUAUAAAGAUGUUUUUUAAUAAUUAAAAUUUAAUAUAUAUAAUCGAUUAAAUCGUAUUAUUUUUGUCAAAAUUAGACUAGACAAAUUGAUUUGACUGAAAAAUGGUAAAUCAAAUCUUGAAUUGGUCUAAAUUAAUAUUAUUUUUUAUAAAAAAUG
rnacentral:lncRNA from 1 species